rnacentral:rRNA from 1 species
GAUUAAGUUAUUAAGGGCGCACGGUGGAUGCCUUGGCACUAGAAGCCGAUGAAGGACGUUACUAACGACGAUAUGCUUUGGGGAGCUGUAAGUAAGCUUUGAUCCAGAGAUUUCCGAAUGGGGAAACCCAGCAUGAGUUAUGUCAUGUUAUCGAUAUGUGAAUACAUAGCAUAUCAGAAGGCACACCCGGAGAACUGAAACAUCUUAGUACCCGGAGGAAGAGAAAGAAAAUUCGAUUCCCUUAGUAGCGGCGAGCGAAACGGGAAGAGCCCAAACCAACAAGCUUGCUUGUUGGGGUUGUAGGACACUCUAUACGGAGUUACAAAGGACGACAUUAGACGAAUCAUCUGGAAAGAUGAAUCAAAGAAGGUAAUAAUCCUGUAGUCGAAAAUGUUGUCUCUCUUGAGUGGAUCCUGAGUACGACGGAGCACGUGAAAUUCCGUCGGAAUCUGGGAGGACCAUCUCCUAAGGCUAAAUACUCUCUAGUGACCGAUAGUGAACCAGUACCGUGAGGGAAAGGUGAAAAGCACCCCGGAAGGGGAGUGAAAUAGAACCUGAAACCGUGUGCUUACAAGUAGUCAGAGCCCGUUAAUGGGUGAUGGCGUGCCUUUUGUAGAAUGAACCGGCGAGUUACGAUUUGAUGCAAGGUUAAGCAGUAAAUGUGGAGCCGUAGCGAAAGCGAGUCUGAAUAGGGCGUUUAGUAUUUGGUCGUAGACCCGAAACCAGGUGAUCUA